rnacentral:misc_RNA from 1 species
GUGAAUCAUCAAAUUUUUGAACGCAAAUUGCACUCUCUGGUAUUCCGGUGAGUAUGCCUGUUUGAGGGUCAGUUUAAAUAAAAAUCGGUGUGGUUGCUGCCUUUCGUGGUGACGCACCGGAUGUGGUUCGUCUUGCCUUCGGUUAAGUGACUUAAAAUUUUGCAUGAUUUUUUGGAACGUACUUAAAUGUUUUUACGUACGCUUUCGAGAUCGAAUACUAGGUUCGGUCAUCCUCA